AACGAACGCUGGCGGCAGGCCUAACACAUGCAAGUCGAACGAAGCCUUCGGGCUUAGCGGCGGACGGGUGAGUAACGCGUGGGAACGUGCCCUUUGGUACGGAAUAGCCCCGGGAAACUGGGAGUAAUACCGUAUGUGGUCGAGAGACGAAAGAUUUAUCGCCAAAGGAUCGGCCCGCGUUGGAUUAGGUAGUUGGUGGGGUAAUGGCCUACCAAGCCGACGAUCCAUAGCUGGUUUGAGAGGAUGAUCAGCCACACUGGGACUGAGACACGGCCCAGACUCCUACGGGAGGCAGCAGUGGGGAAUCUUAGACAAUGGGGGAAAACCUGAUCUAGCCAUGCCGCGUGAUCGAUGAAGGCCUUAGGGUUGUAAAGAUCUUUCAGUGGGGAAGAUAAUGACUGUACCCACAGAAGAAGCCCCGGCUAACUCCGUGCCAGCAGCCGCCGUAA
rnacentral:rRNA from 1 species